GGGCGGGUAGCUCAGUGGUAGAGCAACGGCCUUACAAGCCGUGGGUCACAGGUUCGAACCCUGUUCCGCCCA
rnacentral:tRNA from 1 species